rnacentral:rRNA from 1 species
UACGAAGGGGGCUAGCGUUGCUCGGAAUCACUGGGCGUAAAGCGCACGUAGGCGGAUUUCUAAGUCAGGGGUGAAAUCCUGGAGCUCAACUCCAGAACUGCCUUUGAUACUGGGAAUCUCGAGUCCGGGAGAGGUGAGUGGAACUGCGAGUGUAGAGGUGAAAUUCGUAGAUAUUCGCAAGAACACCAGUGGCGAAGGCGGCUCACUGGACUGGUACUGACGCUGAUGCGCGAAAGCGUGGGGAGCAAACAGG